rnacentral:rRNA from 1 species
UACGAAGGGGGCUAGCGUUGCUCGGAAUUACUGGGCUUAAAGGGCGCGUAGGCGGCACUGCAAGUCAGUUGUGAAAUCUCCGGGCUUAACCCGGAAAGGUCAACUGAUACUGCAGGGCUAGAGUGCAGAAGGGGCAACUGGAAUUCUCGGUGUAGCGGUGAAAUGCGUAGAUAUCGAGAGGAACACCUGCGGCGAAGGCGGGUUGCUGGGCUGACACUGACGCUGAGGCGCGAAAGCCAGGGGAGCGAACGGG